rnacentral:rRNA from 1 species
ACCCGCAGAAGAAGCACCGGCUAACUCCGUGCCAGCAGCCGCGGUAAUACGGAGGGUGCAAGCGUUAAUCGGAAUUACUGGGCGUAAAGCGCACGCAGGCGGUCUGUCAAGUCGGAUGUGAAAUCCCCGGGCUCAACCUGGGAACUGCAUUCGAAACUGGCAGGCUUGAGUCUUGUAGAGGGGGGUAGAAUUCCAGGUGUAGCGGUGAAAUGCGUAGAGAUCUGGAGGAAUACCGGUGGCGAAGGCGGCCCCCUGGACAAAGACUGACGCUCAGGUGCGAAAGCGUGGGGAGCAAACAGGAUUA